rnacentral:rRNA from 1 species
UUGGAGGGCAAGUCUGGUGCCAGCAGCCGCGGUAAUUCCAGCUCCAAUAGCGUAUAUUAAAGUUGUUGCAGUUAAAAAGCUCGUAGUUGAAUUUCGGGAUUAGUGCGCCGGUCGUGCCUUCGGUAUGUACUGGUGUUACUGGUUCCUACCUUCUGACGAACCGUCAUGUCAUUAAUUUGGUGUGGCGGGGAAUCAGGACUGUUACUUUGAAAAAAUUAGAGUGUUUAAAGCAGGCUAACGCUUGAAUACAUUAGCAUGGAAUAAUGAAAUAGGACGUUCGAUCCUAUUUUGUUGGUUUCUAGGAUUGACGUAAUGAUUAAUAGGGAUAGUUGGGGGCAUUAGUAUUCAAUUGUCAGAGGUGAAAUUCUUGGAUUUAUUGAAGACUAACUACUGCGAAAGCAUUUGCCAAGGAUGUUUUCAUUAAUCAAGAACGAAAGUUAGGGGAUCGAAGACGAUCAGAUACCGUCGUAGUCUUAACCAUAAACUAUGCCGACUAGGAAUCGGAUGAUGUUAUUUUUAAUGACUCAUUCGGCGCCUUACGGGAAA